UUCCGGUUGAUCCUGCCAGAGGCCAUUGCUAUCAGGGUUUGACUAAGCCAUGCGAGUCGAGAGGUGUAAGACCUCGGCAUACUGCUCAGUAACACGUGGUUAACCUGCCCUAAGGUGGAGCAUACUCCCGGGAAACUGGGGCUAAUACUCCAUAGUGGAUAUAUCCUGGAAUGGUAUAUCCUCGAAAGAUCCGUCGCCUUAGGAUGGGACUGCGUCCGAUUAGGUUGUUGGCGGGGUAACGGCCCACCAAGCCUUUGAUCGGUACGGGUUGUGGGAGCAAGAUCCCGGAGAUGGAUUCUGAGACAUGAAUCCAGGCCCUACGGGGCGCAGCAGGCGCGCAAACUUUACAAUGCGAGCAAUCGUGAUAAGGAAACCCUGAGUGCCUGUCGAUGCAGGCUGUUCAUAUAUCUAAAUCAUAUGUGAAGAAAGGGCAGGGCAAGACCGGUGCCAGCCGCCGCGGUAAUACCGGCUGCUCGAGUGAUGGCCACUAUUACUGGGUUUAAAGCGUCCGUAGCUUGACUGUUAGGUCUCUUGGGAAAUCUUCACGCUCAACGUGAAGGCGUCUAAGAGAUACCGGCAGUCUUGGAACUGGGAGAGGUAAACCGUACUUCGGGGGUAGGAGUGAAAUCUUGUAAUCCUCGAGGGACGACCUAUGGCGAAGGCAGUUUACCAGAACAGCUUCGACAGUGAGGGACGAAAGCUGGGGGAGCAAACGGGAUUAGAUACCCCGGUAGUCCCAGCCGUAAACAAUGUGCGUUAGGUGUGUCGGUAACCACGUGUUACUGAUGCGCCGAAGAGAAAUCGUGAAACGCACCACCUGGGAAGUACGGUCGCAAGGCUGAAGCUUAAAGGAAUUGGCGGGGGGGCACAAUCGUCGAACG
rnacentral:rRNA from 1 species